rnacentral:lncRNA from 1 species
UGUAUUAAUUUUUCAAUCUAGAAAAUUUGUUGUGUCCAUCUUGAAAUCCCGGCGCGAAGCAACCUUCAAGCCACGGGCAAUUUGGAUGAGCUUUACACCUUCACCGUAGCAUUACAGACGAGUUUUAGAAUCUAGUUAUUUGCCAUACAACUAUUUCAAAAGAGAAAGGAAACACUCGGUGCUAGUAGCUUGACCCUCCCCUGCCCAUCAAGUUUACCAUCUUUUCCCUAUAGAAUCAUUGAGGGCUUGCUGAAUAUUGUUACAUCAACUAAAGAUUUUUUAAGAGCUACAAAGUAGCCGUAAGUAUUCCAAUCACCAAACUAUGUUUUGCUCCUGAUGUAAGGGGUUCCAUGUGCAUGUGGCAAUACUGUAUUCAGAAUAUGAACUUAAAAAAAUACAGUGAAAUCUGUAAGACCGCUCAAGGGAUAACAUGAAAAAUGGUCUUUCUAUAUACCUUUUUCAGGUUAUUUUUAUUUACAUGUUCCUUAAGUACAGGCAUCAACAGAAAACUAUAUUCAAGGGGGGAAAAAUGUGGUCUUUCCAUAUAGGUGGUCGCUACAGCAGGUUUGACUGUAUAACUUCUACAAAGGAAUGUUGCAAUUUAAAUACAUUUUCAGUGUACAGUAAAAGGUCUUGUUGAGUUUUAUGUUAUCCUCUAUUUUCAUUAUACCGGUACUCCUUAACCAUUGACCUACCGGUAUACCAGUUAAGGUUUUUAGAUUUACUUUUAUACAUUCUAGCUAUACACAAAUUGUUUUCAGGUGAUUAGUACAAUUUACAUGUCAGUGCCUGUAAAACCAAGCAAUGAAUGCUAAGCUGUCUUUUUCUUAAUUGAUACCAACUGUUGUUGUUUUAGUUCACGCAGCCACCAUGUAGGCCUUUCAUUCACCUCACCCCUUUUUCUCAUUUUAAAUCAGGACAUGGCUUCCAUGCUUUCACCAAAUUUACCAGACAUGUUUACUAAUAAAUGCCAGACAAGCCUCAUAAUAAAUAAUUUACCAUAUCUCUACAAUGAUACAACCGACUGUUAUGAUUAAAUUGGGUUAGUUUAAUUUGGAGUCCUCUUGAAUUAGAAACGGGUACAUCGCACUGAUGCUUCCAUCUGAGUGCAAUAAAAAGUGCAUCCCCCUGUCUGGAUGAGAGCAUUCUACCAUGGAUCUACUUUAAAGAGGUCCAUGAUUCUACCUGCAGUCAAAGCUUAGUCUGCGGGUAUAGACUUUAAUUUCACUCUUAUACAUGACUCCAUGGCCCGUAUACUUCUAAUUCAUUUAAACCUGACACUGGGUCAAAGAUUAUGUUUAACAAAGGAAAACUUAGACCCCACUCAGAAUAACUUCUUUUGUUAAACCCAGUUUCGAACCAAAAUAUUUAACCCAGUGUCAGGUUUAAAGUUUAAUAGACUACGGGGACCAUGAGUCUCGAGUCGAGCCUUAAAAUAUCAGUCUGUGUCAAUUCCAGUUGAGGGUCUAUGGAGUGCAGUACACCAUGUAGUCUACGAAGUCUUACAGAUCAGACAUUGCGGCCCGAAUUUACAGAGGAGGUAUGUCGACAAACCUCUUUGAGAAUCCGGGCCAAUAGGUCUGUCUUUUUCAGACCGAAGUUGCAAAGAAACCUGCUUUUUCAGACUUGGGAUAUUUUCCCGAAACUCGAAAUUGCGUCAUGACCAGACCGAUACGCUCGUCACAAAGUAGCUUGGACAGGCCCAAAUUAGUCCGCUAUUUCCCAAAUUUGGAAACAAGACCAAGAUUUCUUGGGAUAUUUCUCGACCAAAACGCCAGCUAAUUGCAACUGCAGGCUGAUGAAGACGCAAAUCAGCUUGCUAAUGAGAGUUAGGGCUAGUUAAAAUAGUGGGUUAUUUAGCAACUUUGGUCUGAUGAGGACAGGCCUUCUACCGCUAUGACUGACAAGGGUUUGUGCCUGCAAACUAGUAGCAUCCUACCUCCAGGCAUAGCUGAUGUUACCCAGGUGGAAUCGCUAAGGUCAGUGUCUAUUUCGAGCUCAGGAGAAGACCCGGCCGGCCAAGCUUGUCUAAACUUCCAGACUCCAUCUCACAUUAUUCUCUUGCAUUGUAGGUUUACACCCAAUACCAGAGUAGAUUGACAUUGCUUUGCCUUUAUGAUACUUACAAA